CAAUUUUUCAUUUGAUAAUUAUAUAUGAUUCUUUUUCUUUUACUGACAAAUCAUUGUCAGAAUGGAAGAUCAAACAUCAGAUAACAGGACUUUUCAUUUUGAUUUACCUAUGUGACAAGCUUGAAGUGAUCAUUUCUUUCUAUCCAGGUUGUGUUUACAGUCGAUGGUGACAGUCUUGUAGAAAACCAAAAAGGAGACGGUUUCGAAUGCACACAUGUUAGGAAGGGAGACGGCGGCACUUUAACAAUGAUAUUGACAGGUGGAGGCCAAACUUGUGUAAGGACAUUUACCAAAGUGUAACAACAUUCCAGUAGUGCCAAUAAUAUUCCAUGAAGUUCAUUUCAAUAUUUCAUACAUGUAGUUCAAUAAAUUGUACAAUGGA